GAGUUUGAUCAUGGCUCAGAACGUACGCUGGCGGCACGCCUAACACAUGCAAGUCGAACGAAGUAGCAAUACUUAGUGGCAGACGGGUGAGUAACAUGUAGGUAUCUGCCCUUUGGCCUGGAAUAACACGAGGAAACUUGUGCUAAUACCGGAUAAGUCUUUACGGAGAAAGCUUUAUGCACCAUUGGAUGAGCCUGCACUUGAUUAGUUUGUUGGUGGGGUAAUGGCCUACCAAGACUGUGAUCAAUAGCUGAUUUGAGAGGAUGAUCAGCCACAUUGGGACUGAGACACGGCCCAAACUCCUACGGGAGGCAGCAGUGGGGAAUCUUGCACAAUGGAGGAAACUCUGAUGCAGCGAUGCCGCGUGAGUGAAGAAGGCCUUUGGGUUGUAAAGCUCUUUCGUCGGGGAAGAAAAUGACUGUACCCGAAUAAGAAGGUCCGGCUAACUUCGUGCCAGCAGCCGCGGUAAUACGAAGGGACCUAGCGUAGUUCGGAAUUACUGGGCUUAAAGAGUUCGUAGGUGGUUGAAAAAGUUAGUGGUGAAAUCCCAGAGCUUAACUCUGGAACUGCCAUUAAAACUUUUCAGCUAGAGUAUGAUAGAGGAAAGCAGAAUUUCUAGUGUAGAGGUGAAAUUCGUAGAUAUUAGAAAGAAUACCAAUUGCGAAGGCAGCUUUCUGGAUCAUUACUGACACUGAGGAACGAAAGCAUGGGUAGCGAAGAGGAUUAGAUACCCUCGUAGUCCAUGCCGUAAACGAUGUGUGUUAGACGUUGGAAUUUAUUUUCAGUGUCGCAGGGAAACCGAUACACACACCGCCUGGGGAGUACGACCGCAAGGUUAAAACUCAAAUGAAUUGACGGGGACCCGCACAAGUAGUGGAGCAUGUGGUUUAAUUCGAAGAUACGCGCAGAACCCUACCAACACUUGACAUGUUCGUCGCGACUCUAAGAGAUUAGAGUUUUCGGUUCGGCCGGACGAAACACAGGUGCUGCAUGGCUGUCGUCAGCUCGUGUCGUGAGAUGUUGGGUUAAGUCCCGCAACGAGCGCAACCCUCACUUUUAGUUGCCAUCAUUAAGUUGGGCACUCUGAAAGAACUGCCAGUGAUAAGCUGGAGGAAGGUGGGGAUGACGUCAAGUCCUCAUGGCCCUUACGUGUUGGGCUACACACGUGCUACAAUGGUAUCUACAACAGGAAGCAAGACUGCGAAGUUAAGCAAAUCCCUAAAAGAUACCUCAGUUCGGAUUGCACUCUGCAACUCGAGUGCAUGAAGCUGGAAUUACUAGUAAUCGUGGAUCAGCGUGCCACGGUGAAUGCGUUCCCGGGUCUUGUACACACCGCCCGUCACACCAUGGGAGUUGGUUCUACCUUAAGGCAAGGUUUCAAACCCUUGACCACGGUAUAGUCAGCGACUGGGGUGAAGUCGUAACAAGGUAACC
rnacentral:rRNA from 1 species